rnacentral:rRNA from 1 species
UACGGAGGGAGCUAGCGUUGUUCGGAAUUACUGGGCGUAAAGCGCGCGUAGGCGGCUUUGUAAGUUAGAGGUGAAAGCCCGGAGCUCAACUCCGGAACUGCCUUUAAAACUGCAUCGCUUGAAUCCAGGAGAGGUGAAUGGAAUUCCGAGUGUAGAGGUGAAGUUCGUAGAUAUUCGGAAGAACACCAGUGGCGAAGGCGGCUCACUGGACUGGUAUUGACGCUGAGGUGCGAAAGCGUGGGGAGCAAACAGG